rnacentral:rRNA from 1 species
UACGUAGGGGGCAAGCGUUGUCCGGAAUUAUUGGGCGUAAAGCGCGCGCAGGCGGCUUUUUAAGUCUGGUGUAUAAACCUGAGGCUCAACCUUGGGACGCAUUGGAAACUGGGGAGCUUGAGUACAGCAGAGGAGAGUGGAAUUCCACGUGUAGCGGUGAAAUGCGUAGAGAUGUGGAGGAACACCAGUGGCGAAGGCGACUCUCUGGGCUGAAACUGACGCUGAGGCGCGAAAGCGUGGGGAGCAAACA